UGGGGAAUUUUGCACAAUGGGGGAAACCCUGAUGCAGCGACGCCGCGUGAUUUAGAAGGCCUUCGGGUUGUAAAAAUCUUUUGUAUGGGAAGAAAAUGACAGUACCAUACGAAUAAGGACCGGCUAAUUACGUGCCAGCAGCCGCGGUAAUACGUAAGGUCCGAGCGUUGUCCGGAAUCAUUGGGCGUAAAGGGUACGUAGGCGGAUAAGCAAGUUAGAAGUGAAAUCCUAUAGCUCAACUAUAGUAAGCUUUUAAAACUGCUCAUCUUGAGGUAUGGAAGGGAAAGUGGAAUUCCUAGUGUAGCGGUGAAAUGCGCAGAUAUUAGGAGGAAUACCGGUGGCGAAGGCGACUGUCUGGCCAUAUACUGACGCUGAGGUACGAAAGCGUGGGUAGCAAACAGG
rnacentral:rRNA from 1 species